rnacentral:rRNA from 1 species
AGAGACAGCAGCCGCCGCGGUAAUACGAAGGGGGCUAGCGUUGCUCGGAAUGACUGGGCGUAAAGGGCGCGUAGGCGGAUUGUUUAGUUAGGCGUGAAAUUCCUGGGCUUAACCUGGGGACUGCGCUUAAUACAGGCAGUCUAGAGUGAGGAAGAGGGUUGUGGAAUUCCCAGUGUAGAGGUGAAAUUCGUAGAUAUUGGGAAGAACACCGGUGGCGAAGGCGGCAACCUGGUCCUUGACUGACACUAAGAGACGAAAGCUAGGGGAGCAAAUGGGAUUAGAUACCCCAGUAGUCCCUGUCUCUUAUAC